CCGGCACAACAUGUGGAAGUGAAUAGUUCAUAUUCGUCAAGUGGGAGAGUUGCAGAGAAAUAUAGUGGUGUAGGAGAAAAAAAUGUCGAAUCAGGACUCAAACUUUGGUGGAUCUGCGGGCAGCGUAGGUGUUUCACCGUCUAGAGAGAGACCAGCCGACGGUGAGGCUGAGACUGUGCCUCUCAAGCAGAGACUGGCCUUAUACCAAGCUGCCACUACCAAGGAGGAGAGAAGCCCAUCUGUGGUAUUUACCAGCACAAACAUGCAUGAACAUACGCUAGCCCACACACUAAUAUCAUAUUACCUGUAGUGAAGGAAAAAUAGGCACAUAUUUCUUACUUCUUGUCUAAGGCCUUCCACCUCCUAUUUAAUAUUUGCAACUCAGAAAAAAAAAAUACCUUUCAGCCCAUAUAAGCAUGCAGUACUUAAUGGUUGUGUUAUACAUAAUAGAUGCAUAAAUUACACAUUAAAUCGAUUUGCACUUUAGUGAUCCCAUGUGGGAAUUUGGGCUGCAUUAAAUAAUUUGAGAUGGCAGGUACUGGAUGAGGAUUACACAGUGUCCUAAACAAUUUGUGCUUGUAUCCUAACCAGCUACAACCAUGGAAAUACAUUUUGUCGGUUGCUUGGAGAAUUUGUAGACUGGAAGGUACUCUAUGUACAGACUUGCAUAUUUUUUAUUUUCUAUUGGGAAGUUUAGAAUGUAAUUUAAUACUAAAGGAUUAACAAUAACAAAUACUGAUACGACUUGUCAAAAGAUACUGCGUAUUUGGUUCUAAGUAAAAGACUAAAUCAAAGACUUUGUUUUCAACCUUGUAGUGCCCCCUAGAGGAGAAUCAUAUGUCUCAUAUCUAUUCAAUGUAUGCAAGCUUAUGUAUACCGUAUGUAUAUUUAUGAAUGUGUAUUACC
rnacentral:lncRNA from 1 species